rnacentral:rRNA from 1 species
GACGAACGCUGGCGGCGUGCUUAACACAUGCAAGUCGAACGGAAAGGCCCUGCUUUUGUGGGGUGCUCGAGUGGCGAACGGGUGAGUAACACGUGAGUAACCUGCCCUUGACUUUGGGAUAACUUCAGGAAACUGGGGCUAAUACCGGAUAGGAGCUCCUGCUGCAUGGUGGGGGUUGGAAAGUUUCGGCGGUUGGGGAUGGACUCGCGGCUUAUCAGCUUGUUGGUGGGGUAGUGGCUUACCAAGGCUUUGACGGGUAGCCGGCCUGAGAGGGUGACCGGCCACAUUGGGACUGAGAUACGGCCCAGACUCCUACGGGGGGCAGCAGUGGAGAAUAUGGCACAAUGGGCGGAAGCCUGAUGCAGCAGCGCCGCGUGCGGGAUGACGGCCUUCGGGUUGUAAACCGCUUUCGCCUGUGACGAAGCGUGAGUGACGGUAAUGGGUAAAGAAGCACCGGCUAACUACGUG